UGCGUAGGUGGCCUUUUAAGUUGGAUGUGAAAUACCCGGGCUUAACUUGGGGGUGCAUCUAAUACUGGAGGGCUAGAGUGCAGGAGAGGGAAGCGGAAUUCCUAGUGUAGCGGUGAAAUGCGUAGAUAUUAGGAGGAACACCAGUGGCGAAGGCGGCUUUCUGGACUGUAACUGACACUGAGGCACGAAAGCGUGGGGAGCAAACAG
rnacentral:rRNA from 1 species